rnacentral:rRNA from 1 species
CCCAUCCGUGUUGAACUACACCUGUUGCUUCGGCGGGCCCGCCGUGGUUCACGCCCGGCCGCCGGGGGGCCUUGUGCUCCCGGGCCCGCGCCCGCCGAAGACCCCUCGAACGCUGCCCUGAAGGUUGCCGUCUGAGUAUAAAAUCAAUCAUUAAAACUUUCAACAACGGAUCUCUUGGUUCCGGCAUCGAUGAAGAACGCAGCGAAAUGCGAUAAGUAAUGUGAAUUGCAGAAUUCCGUGAAUCAUCGAAUCUUUGAACGCACAUUGCGCCCCCUGGCAUUCCGGGGGGCAUGCCUGUCCGAGCGUCAUUGCUAACCCUCCAGCCCGGCUGGUGUGUUGGGUCGACGUCCCCCCCCCGGGGGACGGGCCCGAAAGGCAGCGGCGGCGCCGCGUCCGAUCCUCGAGCGUAUGGGGCUUUGUCACGCGCUCUGGUAGGGUCGGCCGGCUGGCCAGCCAGCGACCUCACGGUCACCUAUUUUUUCUCUUAGGUUGACCUCGGAUCAGGUAGGGAUACCCGCUGAACUUAAGCAUAUCAAAAGCCGGGAGGAAAUUACCAAGUGAGGGUCCACAAGGCCCAACCCCAUCGUGUUGAACUACACCUGUUGCUUCGCGAGCGCGUGGUUAGACCGGCGCCUGGGGACUUGUGCUCGGGCGCGCCGCGAAGACCCUCAACCUGCCUGAAAGGUUGCCUCUUACUAUAAUAUCAAUCAUUAAAAACUUUUCACAACGAGAUCUCUUGGGGUUUCGACGUCAAAUAAAGAAGGCGCGAAAUGCUAUAAGCUAGAUGUGAAUUGCAGAAAUUCGUGCGAUCAUGUAAUCUUUGUACGCACAUUGCGCCCGCGAUGUACAGGGGGCAUGCGUUGCUACAAAACUCCAGCCUGACGAGUUGUGAUUAUAGUCCUCCUCGGGGUGAGGUGCUCAAUG